UUACGACCACAUCACGUUGAAACACUGGUUCCUGUACAAUCACCAAUGUUAAGCAACAUCGGGCUUGGUCAGUACUAAGAUGGGUGACCGCUUGGAAUAUCAGGUGCUGUAAG